rnacentral:tRNA from 1 species
UGGGCUAUAGCCAAGCGGUAAGGCAACGGAUUUUGAUUCCGUGAUCCCUGGUUCGAAUCCAGGUAGCCCAGCCA